rnacentral:rRNA from 1 species
GGAGGAAUGUCAAAGUCACGGCGCAGCGUGUAGCCGAUACCGGCUUCCCCUUCGACGGGAACGCCGGAAAGCUGGAGGUCCUGCACGUCGCGAUAGAUAGUUCGCGGCGAGACUUCCAGCUUCCCGGCAAGAUUGCGCGCCGUAACCAGCCGGCCGGAACGGAGCAGCUGAACGAUGCGAAAGAGUCGGUCGGCACGGCGCAUAGAUGGGCCAAGUCUAUUACGAAGUGGAGUGGAGACCGAUAGCGCACAAGUA